AUUCCGCGGCUGCUGGCACAAAUUUAGCCGGUGCUUAUUCCUCAGGUACCGUCAGCCCCAUAGGGUAUUAACCCGUGGUAUUUCGCUCCUGAUAAAAGUGCUUUACAACCCGAAGGCCUUCUUCACACACGCGGCAUUGUUGGAUCAGGCUUGCGCCCAUUGUCCAAUAUUCCCCACUGCUGCCUCCCGUAGGAGUCUGGGCCGUGUCUCAGUCCCAGUGUGGCUGAUCAUCCUCUCAAACCAGCUACGGAUCGUUGCCUUGGUGGGCCAUUACCCCGCCAACAAGCUAAUCCGGCAUCGGCUCAUCCAAUCGCGCAAGGUCCGAAGAUCCCCCGCUU
rnacentral:rRNA from 1 species